rnacentral:rRNA from 1 species
AUUGAACGCUGGCGGCAUGCCUUACACAUGCAAGUCGAGCGGCAGCGCGGGGGCAACCCUGGCGGCGAGCGGCGAACGGGUGAGUAAUGCAUCGGAACGUGUCCUUUUGUGGGGGAUAACCAGUCGAAAGACUGGCUAAUACCGCAUGAGCUCGAGAGAGGAAAGCAGGGGACCCGAGGGUAACUUCGGGCCUUGCGCGAGAGGAGCGGCCGAUGCCCGAUAGCUAGUUGGUGAGGUAACGGCUCACCAAGGCGACGAUCGGUAGCUGGUUUGAGAGAACGACCAGCCACACUGGGACUGAGACACGGCCCAGACUCCUACGGGAGGCGGCAGUGGGGAAUUUUGGACAAUGGGCGCAAGCCUGAUCCAGCCAUGCCGCGUGUGUGAAGAAGGCC